GUGAUAAACCGAACGGUCCGGCCGGAGGACAAGCCUCAAGGAUGGCAAGGAAGCGUGGAAGAAGAACCGAAGCUGCGGAAGCAACGUUCGCGGGAAGUCUAACGGUCUAACCGCUUGAAGCACGUUGCAGAGUCGAGACCAGUUGAGCGGCCGGAAUUUUACGAACGAUUAUGCAAGCGUACGUCUUGAGGACGACCAUGAGCCACAUAUCAUCUCAAAUUUCUGCCCGUCAAGCCUUGUGACGAAACGGAAUCGGACUUCUUCAAGGCGCGGAUCCUAAAGUUGUUUGGAUCGCAGAGUGACGCGGAAACCCAGUGACAGUAAGCGGGUGCUAGUACCUCCGACGAGAUGAGUGACUGCCCGGGAGGGCUGGAGGAAGCUUGUAUGAGACAGCUGGCCCGAGCCCGAACCAGGCCAAUCAACGUGCUGGCCCGAACCAGGCCAAUCAACGUGCUGGCCCGAGCCCGGCCCGGGCCCACAGUCAAAAGUCCGAGCCCAUCCCAGGCCUGGGCUUUCGGCUCAGCAAAGUCUGCGGAUCUGGUUAUGCUUCCUGUACGAGACAGAUCACGAAGCGGUUGCUGACUGACCAGUUGGGGCGAAAAGUUUUGUGGGAAGGACGCAAGAGAAAGUUGACAUUCAGGAACCUUCACCUUGCUGAGUGCAUCAUAAAUGCAGUGCAGAGCUGCCAUAAAUGUGAAGACUUCAAGGUAGAAACCAUGGUCACGGAUUAACUUCGCCACGCACCUGCCUGACAUCAGUCAUCUCAAAUGGAACAUUCUGCACCACAGGAGAGAGAGAUGUGAACUGCCUUAAGUGGGCCUUGAAUGUGCUGAGCUUUUUAUUAUGUUUAUCAGACAUUUUUUUUAAGCAAAGUAUCCUGCAUUGUUCAGUAAGUAUACUUUAUUUUGAAAACCUCAUGCUGUCUAUGCAGCAUUGUUCAAAAAUUAUACUUUAUUUUAAAAGCACCAAGCACUGCUCGUCUGUCUAACAGUAACAAUAAAGAGUUAAUGGCGAUUUGUUUGGCACUGCAACUUUUUCUACAGCACGGAUGUGCAUGCCUGACAGGCUGGGCAGGAAUUUAGUGC
rnacentral:lncRNA from 1 species